GCCUGCAUGGUGUAGUGGUUUGAAUGUUGGACUAGGACUCUGAAGACCAGGGUUCAAAUCCCGGCUUGGCCA